AACUUUUGGCAAUGGAUCACUUGGUUCAGGCAUCGAUGAAGAACGCAGCGAAAUGCAAUAAGUAAUGUGAAUUGCAGAAUUCAGUGAAUCAUCGAAUCUUUGAACGCACAUUGCGCCCUCUGGUAUUCUGGGGGGCAUGCCUGUUCGAGCGUCAUUACAACCCUCAAGCCUGGCUUGGUAUUGGGCGCCGUCCCCCGGGGCGCGCCUGGAAAGCAGCGGCGGUGCGGCCGGUGAUCGAGCGUAGUAACUAUUCCCGCUUCGAGCCGCCCGGGCGUUCCAGCCGGACAACAUCUAUUUUUCAAUGGUUGACCUCGGAUCAGGUAGGGAUACCCGCUGAACUUAAGCAUAUCAAUAAGCGGAGGCU
rnacentral:misc_RNA from 1 species